CUACGGGUGGCAGCAGUGGGGAAUAUUGCACAAUGGGCGCAAGCCUGAUGCAGCCAUGCCGCGUGUAUGAAGAAGGCCUUCGGGUUGUAAAGUACUUUCAGCGGGGAGGAAGGGAGUAAAGUUAAUACCUUUGCUCAUUGACGUUACCCGCAGAAGAAGCACCGGCUAACUCCGUGCCAGCAGCCGCGGUAAUACGGAGGGUGCAAGCGGUUAAUCGGAAUUACUGGGCGUAAAGCGCACGCAGGCGGUUUGUUAAGUCAGAUGUGAAAUCCCCGGGCUCAACCUGGGAACUGCAUCUGAUACUGGCAAGCUUGAGUCUCGUAGAGGGGGGUAGAAUUCCAGGUGUAGCGGUGAAAUGCGUAGAGAUCUGGAGGAAUACCGGUGGCGAAGGCGGCCCCCUGGACGAAGACUGACGCUCAGGUGCGAAAGCGUGGGGAGCAAACAGGAUUAAUACCCUGGUAGUC
rnacentral:rRNA from 1 species